UCUAGAGAUUAGAGUUUGAUCAUGGCUCAGAGUGAACGCUGGCGGUAGGCCUAACACAUGCAAGUCGAACGGCAGCACAGUAAGAGCUUGCUCUUACGGGUGGCGAGUGGCGGACGGGUGAGGAAUGCAUCGGAAUCUACUCUGUCGUGGGGGAUAACGUAGGGAAACUUACGCUAAUACCGCAUACGACCUACGGGUGAAAGCAGGGGAUCUUCGGACCUUGCGCGAUUGAAUGAGCCGAUGCCCGAUUAGCUAGUUGGCGGGGUAAGAGCCCACCAAGGCGACGAUCGGUAGCUGGUCUGAGAGGAUGAUCAGCCACACUGGAACUGAGACACGGUCCAGACUCCUACGGGAGGCAGCAGUGGGGAAUAUUGGACAAUGGGCGCAAGCCUGAUCCAGCCAUACCGCGUGGGUGAAGAAGGCCUUCGGGUUGUAAAGCCCUUUUGUUGGGAAAGAAAAGCAGUCGGUUAAUACCCGAUUGUUCUGACGGUACCCAAAGAAUAAGCACCGGCUAACUUCGUGCCAGCAGCCGCGGUAAUACGAAGGGUGCAAGCGUUACUCGGAAUUACUGGGCGUAAAGCGUGCGUAGGUGGUUGUUUAAGUCUGUCGUGAAAGCCCUGGGCUCAACCUGGGAAUUGCGAUGGAAACUGGGCGACUAGAGUGUGGCAGAGGGUAGUGGAAUUCCUGGUGUAGCAGUGAAAUGCGUAGAGAUCAGGAGGAACAUCCGUGGCGAAGGCGACUGCCUGGGCCAACACUGACACUGAGGCACGAAAAGCGUGGGGGAGCAAACAGGAUUAGAUACCCUGGUAGUCCACGCCCCUAAAACGAUGCGAACUGGAUGUUGGGUGCAAUUUUGGCACGCAGUAUCGAAGCUAACGCGUUAAGUUCGCCGCCUGGGGAGUACGGUCGCAAGACUGAACUCAAAAGAAUUGACGGGGGCCCGCACCAGCGGUGGAGUAUGUGGGUUUAAUUCCGAUGCCACCGCGAAGAACCCUUACCUGCCCUUUGACAUGGCACGGAACCUUUCCAGGAGAAUGGAUUUGGUAGCCCUUCGGGAAACCGUGACCCCAGGUGCCUGCCAUGGCCUGGUCCUCAGCUUCCGGGUCGUGGAGUAGU
rnacentral:rRNA from 1 species